UACGUAGGUGGCAAGCGUUGUCCGGAUUUACUGGGCGUAAAGAGCGCGCAGGCGGUCGUUCGAGUCGGAUGUGAAAGCCCCCGGCUCAACUGGGGAGGGUCAUUCGAUACUGAUCGACUCGAAGGCAGGAGAGGGAAGCGGAAUUCCCGGUGUAGUGGUGAAAUGCGUAGAUAUCGGGAGGAACACCAGUGGCGAAGGCGGCUUCCUGGCCUGUUCUUGACGCUGAGGCGCGAAAGCCAGGGGAGCAAACGGG
rnacentral:rRNA from 1 species